GAUGAACGCUGGCGGCGUGCCUAAUACAUGCAAGUCGAGCGAACAGACGAGGAGCUUGCUCCUCUGACGUUAGCGGCGGACGGGUGAGUAACACGUGGAUAACCUACCUAUAAGACUGGGAUAACUUCGGGAAACCGGAGCUAAUCCCGGAUAAUAUAUUGAACCGCAUGGUUCAAUAGUGAAAGACGGUUUUGCUGUCACUUAUAGAUGGAUCCGCGCCGCAUUAGCUAGUUGGUAAGGUAACGGUUUACCAAGGCAACGAUGCGUAGCCGACCUGAGAGGGUGAUCGGCCACACUGGAACUGAGACACGGUCCAGGCUCCUACGGGAGGCAGCAGUAGGGAAUCUUCCGCAAUGGGCGAAAGCCUGACGGAGCAACGCCGCGUGAGUGAUGAAGGUCUUCGGAUCGUAAAACUCUGUUAUUAGGGAAGAACAAAUGUGUAAGUAACUAUGCACGGCUUGACGGUACCGAAUCAGAAAGCCACGGCUAACUACGUG
rnacentral:rRNA from 1 species